rnacentral:rRNA from 1 species
GACGAACGCUGGCGGCGUGCCUAAUACAUGCAAGUCGAACGCAGUGGGGACGGGUGAGUAACACGUGGGUAACCUCCCAUCAGAGGGGAUAACACUUGGAAACAGGUGCUAAACCGAUACUGAUGGAUGGACCCGCGGGGCAUUAGCGAGUUGGUGAGGUAACGGCUCACCAAGGCAACGAUGCAUCGCCGACGUGAUAGGGUGAUCGGCCACACUGGGACGGAGACACGGCCCAGACUCAUGCGGGAGGUGGCAGUAGGGAAUCUUCGACAAUGGACGAAAGUCUGACCAAGCAACAGCGCGGGAGUGAAGAAGGUUUUCGGAUCGUAAAACUCUGGUGUUAGAGAAGCGGUAUCUGACCAGAAAGCCACGGCUAAGUACGUGCCAGCAGCCGCGGUAAUAC